rnacentral:lncRNA from 1 species
GCGCCGUCAGCCCCGAACGCGUGACCCUGCCUUGCCCAGAGAAACCUCCGGCAGUCGUGGCGUUGUUGCGUCUCCGAGGAUCCAGAAAUCCCAGAUCACUUUUAGCUCCUUGAAAAAUGCAGCUGCUGCUGAGGGGAGAGGAGCAGCGGGCACGGCGGGCACCAGCGGGGCUGAGACUGGACGUGCGGGUGCAGCAAAAGCAGCUGGAAGAUGGAGUAAGCCCCAAACCUGGGAGCACCAAACCAGAGUCCAUUCACCUGAGACAUGCUGACCUUUAUCACUCCCGCGGACUUCAGAGAGCAGUGAUCCUGGUGAAAUCUGCCCAAGAGAGAUUUGAAAGUAACAAGAAUAAUUUCAAAGAAACAAAAGACAACUUCAAACGUGAGAUGCAACCAAAAGACAUUUUACAGGAUGAAAGAACAAAUGCAAGGAGGAUCAAGACCUUUCAGUGAGAUCAGCUAUUAGCUAAUUAAAUAUGUGAAUAAAAUACAUCAUGUUAAACA